GGUUAAGCUAAUAAGAGCGCAGGGUGGAUGCCUUGGCACUAAGAGCCGAAGAAAGACGUGAUAAGCUGCGAAAAGCUGCGGGGAGGAGCAAAUGUCCAUUGAUCCGCAGAUGUCUGAAUGGGGAAACCCGUCUGGAAGAACUCCAGUCACUGCAUGUUGAAUACAUAGGCAUGCAGGGGGAACCCGGUGAACUGAAACAUCUAAGUAGCCGGAGGAAAAGAAAGAAAAAUCGAUUUCCAAAGUAGCGGCGAGCGAAAUGGAAGGAGCCCAAACCGGGAUGCGUGCAUUCCGGGGUUAUGGACCGCAACAAGUGACCCGUAAGAUAGAAGAAUGGCAUUGGGAAAGCCAGCCACAGAGGGUGAAAGCCCCGUAUUCGAAAUCAGAAGGGAGCGAGCGGAAUCCGAAGUACUACGAGACACGUGGAACCUUGUAGGAAAUCGGGGGGACCACCCCCCAAGGCUAAAUACUCCUUAGUGACCGAUAGCGCAUAGUACUGUGAAGGAACGGUGAAAAGAACCCCGGGAGGGGAGUGAAAGAGAACCUGAAACCCUGUGUUUACAAGCUGUGGAAGAGCUUUACAUGCUCAACCGCGUACUUUUUGUAGAACGGUCCGGCGAGUUACUCUUACUGGCAAGGUUAAGCACCAAAGGUGUGGAGCCGAAGGGAAACCAAGUCUUAACAGGGCGAGUUAGUCAGUGUGAGUAGACCCGAAACCGGGUGACCUACCCAUGUCCAGGAUGAAGUUGCCGUAAAAGGCAAUGGAGGUCCGAACACACAUCCGUUGAAAAGGGUGGUGAUGAGGUGUGGGUAGCGGAGAAAUUCCAAUCGAACCCGGAGAUAGCUGGUUCUCCUCGAAAUAGCUUUAGGGCUAGCCUCAAUUUAGUCUUGCGGAGGUAGAGCACUGAAUAUCCUAGGGGGCGUCAAAGCUUACCGAAGAUUAUCAAACUCCGAAUGCCGUAAAGAUGAUGAUUGGGAGUCAGACUGCACGAGAUAAGUUGGGUAGUCAAAAGGGAAACAGCCCAGACCUCCAGCUAAGGUCCCAAAGUGAGUGUUAAGUGGAAAAGGAUGUGGGAUUUCGAAGACAACUAGGAUGUUGGCUCAGAAGCAGCCAUUCAUUCAAAGAGUGCGUAAUAGCUCACUAGUCGAGAGGUCCUGCGCCGAAAAUGUCCGGGGCUAAACACUACACCGAAGCUGAGGAAUGACAAUGUCAUUGGUAGAGGAGCAUUCUUAACUGCGACGAAGCUGUACCGAAAGGAGCAGUGGAGUGUU
rnacentral:rRNA from 1 species